CUAGCAACAGUGACCUAGCAACAACUUAUAGCAUCACCGGCUGCCAGGUACAAGGCAGGAGCUUCAGUUUAUAAGGAAACUGCUCACUACCCCACCCAAUGUCUCCUCCUUUACUCUCUCUUUCUCUGUUCCUACAUGUUCCUGGAUGGCCUCAUCCUCCUUUCUCUUCUCUUUCUGUCCCCUCUUUUUUCUGCCUCUACCCCUUCCAGCGCCCCUCCCCCCAACAAAUCUUUAUACUAGGCCUGUUGAAUGGUGUGAUUCCUCAGGGGGAUACCUUGCCUGGGCUCACCAGGUAUCCUGCCACCACCACCGCAUAAUGCAGUAGCAUUAUGAAAUAUAACACUGAGGUGAUUUGAAUAUGCUUGGCCUAGGGAGUGGCACUAUUAGGAGGUAUGGCCUUGUUGGAGGAAGUGUGUCACUGUGGGGGUGGACAAUGAGACCCUUCUCAUAGCUGCCUGGGAGACAGUUUCUCCUGGAUGCAGUCAGACCAAGAUGCAGAACUCUAAGGUCCUUCUUCAAUACCAUGUCUGAAAGGAUGCUGCCAAACUACCUACCAUGAUGAUAAUGGACUGAACCUCUGAAACUCUGCAGAAGGAUUCGUGUGUCCCCGCGUGUUCUUGCUGGCGAGAUAGCGUGGGACAUCUGGUGCCGAAACCCGGAAGAAAACGCCACACCAUCACCAGGCGCCGAGGAGGGGUCCUCCAUCCGCGGAGAGAAUCCAGAACUGCAGUGUUUUAGGGUAAGCUCUGAAAGAUAUGUUUGGUCUUGAUCUGUUUCACUUCUCUCCCCCGCUAGAAGAUGCGGCGGAAGUUUUUGUUAUCGUUUUAGCAGCCUUCAUGCUUUCUCUUUUGGUUUUUGAUUUUGUGGCUACUGCUAGGCAACGUCAGAGGUCGUGCCUAGAAGAUGGGAGCUGCCCAACUGUAAUAGCAGGACAGAGUGUGCUAGGGGAGUUACAAGGCAGCAUGUCAGAAACAGAGUGGGAUAAAAGAUUAAAGAGCUCAAAGAGAAAAGAUAAAUAUAAGAAAAAAGACCCUCCCAAAGACUUCAGAUUUGAGGGAACGAGAGGUUGUGGAAAGAACGCCCUGGGAGAGAAACAGAGAAAGGAGAAAAAAGUUUUGAAAAGGAGAAGCCUUUAUCCGGUAAAUUAGUUAGAGGCUUUAGAGCUUGAUAGCUCAGAAACAGACGAGCUUGGCUCCUCUGAGGAAGAGGAUUUAGAAGAUGAGGCAGCUCGCUAUGAAAAAGAAAGAUAUGGGCCUAGGUGGAGAGCCACUGUGAAGAAACCGAAAGUUAUGGAUCCUUUGUGGACAAGGCUGGUAAUUUUGUUUAAACUUCACAGAGUCAUACUGAUCAGAUUUGAUAGAGGUAGACCACCUGAAAAUAUAUUCAGGAGAAUCAAACAAAAGGACAUCUCAAUGCCCAUGCAUAGCUUGAUGGAGUUAAUGUAAUUGGGUUGUGAAUGGAAAUAUUCAGGACUGUGUUUCACUUCCAUACCAUUUGUGAAUGUCAGUUGUGCUGCUCAGAUAUCCCAUAAUAUAUCUCAGUAUCUUACAGGAAUUUGGUUUCAACACGUUGAUGGACUAGUCCAGGAAUUGAGACAAUCCAUCGUCCAUAUCAACUCCACUCGAGUGGAUGGUCACCGUGGAAGUGGUGGGAAAGGGGAAAUCCUACCUCUCUGCUGACUCCUAUUGGAAUCUGGGUUCCUUUCGUGGAACACCAUCUAGUUUUUCCUCUUUGUCUAUUGUCUGUCCUUGGUGCACCAAGCUGUCCAUGUAUGUCAGUUUAUGUCUGUGGUUUUUGUUUCUUGUUGCUUAAAUGUUUUAUGUUUCAUGUUCAAACGAGAAAAUGGUAAAAACUUUAUCUGCCAAUCGUUCACACCUUGAUUUGGUUUUAACUCGUUUAAAAAAAGGAACAAAUGAAUAAAAAAGCAGUUUCAAUCAGUCCUUGGAACCCUGUACCUGUAGCCAGGUGUCUAGGUCAGCUGGAGAAGCUGCCCAGGGGUGAGCGUCUACAUGAGUUGAUUAUUAGACUCAACAGGUGACAAGGUGCUUCUCUUAAAAUCAUAGCUAAAAAGGUAAAAAUGGUGCUUGGUCUAAAUAUUAAAGAUAUGUGUAGCUACUUCAAUUUUGUUUCUCAUUGGUUUUAAAUGUAUAAAUAUGCUCUACAUGCCUUGGUUAUGGACUAUUGGCUUUUAAGUUAUUGGAUAUGGUUAAAAAGGUAUAACAUUGGUAACAGAAAGUUGACAUAAAACUGGUAAUUUGGAAAAAGUCAUUCUAGACAACAUGUGGCAUGAGCCAACCUAGGGAAACAGGUCUAAAUUGAGAUAAUAUUUUUAUGGAAUUCUUAUUCUAGAAACCAGGCCUCUAAAAGAAUUUAGGACAACGUCUCUUUGUUGAGGUAUUGGAGACCGCACCAUCGUGCGUUCACAUGUAGGAAUUGGCAGUCAAACUUUGUAGCAUGAAGGAUAGACUCGGUGUUUUAGAGACUAGAUUUUAGAGGCUAACUUGUUGGAGGUUGAGUUUUGCUUUCCAAAGUUGUGGUUUACCCUAAAGUUAUCUGUAUUUUGAUACUAAUUCUACUGCCCCAAGGACAGUACUCAGAACUCAGGUGACUUUCCAAAGUUGUGGCUGUGCUCUGGUGUUACAAGGAGAACUGAAAGAUUGUGAUUAAGGAUUGCCAGUGUUACAUUGACUAACUCAAACCUAUUUGUAAUUAAGAAAAAUCAAACAGGUAGAGAUUGUUACAGGAUUUAUAAAGGAUUGAUGAGGUUUUGGAACUUGUGAGAGCGUUACAGCUUGUUUGCUUACUCCAACUGCCAUUUCAAGAUAGAUUUAGAGGAUUGAUUUUGAGUUUUCAUUUCAUGAGCUUGCUUAUAAUUUUAGAGAGCCCAUAAAGUGAUAUCAUUAAAAAUUUUAUAAAAGAAUGGCUAACAGCCUUGUAUUAUGUAAUUUUGUUGCUUCUUCAAUGUAAGAAGUUAGAACUUUGAAUCUUUCAGUGUAUAUGGAAAAUUUUACUACAAACCUUUGCUCUCAAAAUGAGCUUUAAUAUUUGGGGAGUAGCUAUUGCUCCAGAAAAGAUUCAGUAUUCAUUUUUAAUAUUUAAAACUAAUUUUAAGCUUCUAAGGAUAUGUUAAUUGCCAAAGUACCUCACCUUACCAGAGGACUUAACUUUGUUAUCCACAUUGGAGAUAAAGCUUCAGUUGUGUUAAUACAAAAUUGUAGGCUAGAAUCACGGAAGUAUUUUAAAAAGAAACCUGGUAAAACAUAUCUUAUUCCAAACAACAGGUAAUUGGUUAUUACAAAAUACUGAUAUUUGGCCUAUUACAUAUACAAAUUUUUCAGACAAAAUUGAUAAUUUUACUCUUUACAUGCUUUUGUAUUUACUGUAAAUUUGGACAUGCUACCCAUAGAAAAUGCGCUUAGUGUAUUUAUAGGUGGUUCAUCUAAUGAAAAGGCUACAUAUAUGAUUAGAUCACUUGUUUAUUCUCUUGAGUUUCUGUUGCUUCAACACAGAUUAUUAAAUUCCGUGCUUUAGCCACUGUUUUUAAAUCAAGCUUUCAAUUCACAUACUGAUAACCAAUGUGUGGCUUGUGGUUUACAAUUGAUUUCAAUUACUUAAUGCUUUACUAGAGACAAGUUUUCUACAUGAAAUCAGUGAGUGAUGAUUUCAGUGUGAAUUGUCUAACAACUCACUCUCCUUUCAGUGCUCUGGCUCAGACAACUAUACAAAACCAUAGAAAAUGGUAAUGGAGUUGAUAUAAAAAGAAGAAGACUCCUUUGCUUACUUUCAAUUCCCAGCCUCGCCCUGCCAGCUCAGGGAUAUCUAGUACAACUGAAUCUAGACAAUAUUUACAGGAUUUGGCAUUUCUAAUUAAUGCUUAUGUUUAGGUAAAUAAAGUUUGUGAGGUGCUAGAGAGAUGGCUUAGUGGUUAAGAACACUAAGUACUGUUCCUUUAUAGGACAUUUAAGAACUCAAACUAGAUUGCCUGGGCUCCUUAACAAGGGAGGGCAAUGAUACCAGACAGAUUAUAGGCCUUACAUAGGAACAAUUAGUCAAAAAAUCUCAUUCUUUCUAAUAUUUUAAUAAUUAAAGAGGGGGAGUUAUCCCUGUAUGCUAAAUAAUGCUCCUUUUAUUUCAAUUUUAAAAUUUGGAUGCCAAGGAACCCUUGAGAGUUUAUGGCACCCUACAACUAGACAUACUUCUGCCUAGGUGAAAUAGGAAGAUCCACAUAUUGGCAUGAUCCUGUUCAGAUAUUUUAUAUGGGGAAGAGGGAAUCUUUGUGUUUUUUCUACAGGAUGCUACAAGAGUAUGCCAGCUACCAGAAGUGGUUGGUGAGACUCGUUGAUCCUGGUUGCAUGAAGAUUCAGCUCUCGUGAUUCGGGUCCCUAGAGUCAUUCCUCUGCCCUGAGAGGAAGAUGGCAGAUUCCCCCUCAUCGUUUGUCAUCACAGAGAUUUUGGCGUUGCUGCAGUCAGUGUUACUGCUGCGUGUGUCCCGUCCCACUGUGGCCUAUGCUCAGACCCUCUGUGCACUGCUGCUGUCUAGAGAAGACUGGACUCCAGCUGUUAUUGCUGCCCCCCUCAUUCGCCUGGUGACUCUUGCUGCCUUAACUGAUGUUGUCAUUUUGCAGUCUAUAGCUUCACAGGAAUGCCACCUGCGUAAAGCUGCUGUGGACUGGGGAACUCUGCCCUUGUUAUGCAGAUCUCAGACAUGGUUCCAUUGCCUGCUGGUUGUUCCAGAAAAGAUUGGCUGAUCCCGAACUGUCCUGGGAAAGACCUUGUUAUUUUCGCUGCUAUUGUAGCAGCCAUUUACUGCUAUAGCCAUUGUGUCUGCAGUGUCUGGAGUUACCCUCCCCCCAAUCUAUUGUUAGGCAAGCACAGUGGGUGAACUUUCUGGAGUAGUUGCUAGAACCAGAUGAGGUGCCCACUACUUAUCGGGAGUGGCUCUGUUUGGUGCAGCCCUAUGCUGUGGAUUAGUGUUCAUGCUAUGGUUGGUCUGCAAACUCAGAUCUCAACAGAAACGUGACAAGGUCGUUAUCACUCAAGCACUUGUGGCCAUUGAACAAGGGGCCUCCCCUGGAAUUUGGUUAUCUAUGCUCAGGAAUUAGUCGGUAUCUGAGUUCUCUGCUCUUGUACCCCAUGGAUCUGUGGAUCCAUUACACUGGGAUGAGAGAGACUCAGUGAUUCUUUGAUCAGCCCUUCUACAUCUCUGAGGUUUCCUCAUUGCAUGCGAUAGGGUGAUCAUGAUUUCCCCACUAACUCAUUUUCUGGCUGGCCUCUUUUAUAGAGUUUGCCCUAGGUCGUUUAACAGUUACUGUCACACAGCACUGCGGUAUCCAGAGACGGGCAACUUUCCUCAUGCACAGACCAAUCUAAGACAUGGGGCCCGGUGGCGAUAGGGUUACCCUACGACGGAUAAGGCUGUGACAUAGAGGAAUGACCUAAGACAGGAGCCACAGCAGAUGGACGUAACUGCAGGGACCUAGACCAGCCUCAUAUUAGUAAAACAAUAAGGGGGAGAUGUGGAGAGCCGCAAUAACAUUCGCUACCACAAGAUGGCACUGGCUUCCACUGUGCCCCACGUGGAAAGCCGGGAUAGCUUUUGCCAUUACAAGAUGGCGCUGGUCUCCGCCGCGCCAGCCGACUUCCUUUCAGGAAGUUAACUGUGUGCGCAUGUGCAAGAGUGCCUUCGUGCCAGGUCUUUGCCCACUCCUGGGUGUGCCUAUGAGAUCACGGGUAAACAACCAAUCAGGUGUGGAUGCGCCGCGCUAGGGUGUAUAUAAGCCGCGCCAUGCUGGUGCCCCGGGCCCUCUCUUUAAGAUUCAAUAAACGUUUAGCUGCAGAA